AGUAGCGUGGCCGAGCGGUCUAAGGCGCUGGAUUAAGCCUUCAGUCUCUACGAGGGUCGUGGGUUCGAAUCCCACCGCUGCCA